rnacentral:rRNA from 1 species
GACGAACGCUGGCGGCGUGCCUAAUACAUGCAAGUCGAACGAGAGCGACCGGUGCUUGCACUGGUCAAUCUAGUGGCGAACGGGUGAGUAACACGUGGGUAACCUGCUCAUCAGAGGGGGAUAACAUCCGGAAACGGAUGCUAAAACCGCAUAGGUCUUCGAGCCGCAUGGCUUGAAGAGGAAAAGAGGCGCAAGCUUCUGCUGAUGGAUGGACCCGCGGUGCAUUAGCUAGUUGGUGAGGUAACGGCUCACCAAGGCCGUGAUGCAUAGCCGACCUGAGAGGGUGAUCGGCCACAGUGGGACUGAGACACGGCCCAAACUCCUACGGGAGGCAGCAGUAGGGAAUCUUACGCAAUGGACGCAAGUCUGACGGAGCAACGCCGCGUGAGUGAAGAAGGUUUUCGGAUCGUAAAACUCUGUUGUUAGAGAAGAACAAGUGCUAGAGUAACUGUUAGCGCCUUGACGGUAUCUAACCAGAAAGCCACGGCUAACUACGUG